rnacentral:rRNA from 1 species
AGGACGAACGCUGGCGGCGUGCUUAACACAUGCAAGUCGAACGGAAAGGCCCUUCGGGGUACUCGAGUGGCGAACGGGUGAGUAACACGUGGGUGAUCUGCCCUGCACUUUGGGAUAAGCCUGGGAAACUGGGUCUAAUACCGAAUAGGACCACGGCAUGCAUGUGCUGUGGUGGAAAGCUUUUGCGGUGUGGGAUGGGCCCGCGGCCUAUCAGCUUGUUGGUGGGGUGAUGGCCUACCAAGGCGACGACGGGUAGCCGGCCUGAGAGGGUGUCCGGCCACACUGGGACUGAGAUACGGCCCAGACUCCUACGGGAGGCAGCAGUGGGGAAUAUUGCACAAUGGGCGCAAGCCUGAUGCAGCGACGCCGCGUGGGGGAUGACGGCCUUCGGGUUGUAACCCUUUCAGUAGGGACGAAGCGCAAGUGACGGUACCUACAGAAGAAGCACCGGCCAACUACGCGCCACGCGACGCCGACGGUAA